rnacentral:rRNA from 1 species
CCUACGAGUGGCAGCAGUGAGGAAUAUUGGUCAAUGGGCGCGAGCCUGAACCAGCCAAGUCGCGUGAGGGAUGACGGUCCUAUGGAUUGUAAACCUCUUUUGUCGGGGAGCAAAAGACGCCACGCGUGGCGUUCCGAGAGUACCCGAAGAAACAGCAUCGGCUAACUCCGUGCCAGCCGCCGCGGUAAUACGGAGGAUGCGGGCGGUAUCCGGAUUUAUUGGGUUUAAAGGGUGCGCAGGCGGAAGAUCAAGUCAGCGGUAAAAUUGAGAGGCUCAACCUCUUCGAGCCGUUGAAACUGGUUUUCUUGAGUGAGCGAGAAGUAUGCGGAAGGCGUGGUGUAGCGGUGAAAUGCAUAGAUAUCACGCAGAACUCCGAUUGCGAAGGCAGCAUACCGGCGCUCAACUGACGCUCAUGCACGAAAGUGUGGGUAUCGAACAGGAUUAGAGACCCCAGUAGUC